UACGUAGGGUGCAGGCGUUAAUCGGAAUUACUGGGCGUAAAGCGUGCGCAGGCGGUUUGUUAAGACAGAUGUGAAAUCCCCGGGCUUAACCUGGGAACUGCGUUUGUAACUGGCAAGCUAGAGUGUGGCAGAGGGGGGUGGAAUUCCCGGUGUAGCAGUGAAAUGCGUAGAGAUCGGGAGGAACAUCCGUGGCGAAGGCGACUACCUGGACCAGCACUGACACUGAGGCACGAAAGCGUGGGGAGCAAACAGG
rnacentral:rRNA from 1 species